CAAAGACUCCCAAACUGCCUUUCCUCACAGAACUGUAACUCUGAAGGAAAUUGCAUGACAGGAAUAUAUUUAUGGCUACACUCCAAAGAUAGUCUUCUAUUUUCUGUCGUUCCUCUGGAUUUCUAUUUCAACUUUAAUGGGUUACUGUGAAACGGCAAUGUGGCUCUUAGUUUGCAAGAAUGGAGUGCAGACAGUGUUGCCUCAUGAAAGAUUGACAGAAGGAACAAUCUCCUAACCAUCUAUGGAAAGACUAAUCUUAUCUCACAGAGUCGUAACACCUUCAGGGUAGAAGAUACAACACACUUUGUUCUACAAAUGAGGAAAGUGAGGCCUAGGAGCUGUGUGUGCAGCCAAGCAGUGAGGAAGACCAAACUACACCUCCCAUCAAAUCAGAGUCAGUCAAUAAUGAUUUAAACCAAAAAGAAGUAUUGUCUGGGGAAACAGAAAAAUAAAAUUCACUCUCAGAAAUAUAAAUCACAAGUUGAAUGACAAACUUUUAUCACCAAUAAAAGAUUAAGAAAAAUAUAUUCAGC
rnacentral:lncRNA from 1 species